rnacentral:tRNA from 1 species
GCCUUCGUGGUGAAAUGGUCAGCACGCUCGACGCGUAACCGAGAGGUCCGUGGUUCGAUUCCGGAGAAGGCG